GCUCCCAGUAGACGACUGGGUUGAUAGGCCGGAUAUGGAAGCACGGUAACGUGUGGAGUUGACCGGUACUAAUAGGCCGAGGGCUUGUCCUCAGUUG
rnacentral:rRNA from 1 species